rnacentral:rRNA from 1 species
UACGUAGGGCGCAAGCGUUAUCCGGAAUUAUUGGGCGUAAAGAGCUCGUAGGCGGUUUGUCGCGUCUGCCGUGAAAGUCCGGGGCUCAACUCCGGAUCUGCGGUGGGUACGGGCAGACUAGAGUGCAGUAGGGGAGACUGGAAUUCCUGGUGUAGCGGUGAAAUGCGCAGAUAUCAGGAGGAACACCGAUGGCGAAGGCGGGUCUCUGGGCCAUAACUGACGCUGAGGAGCGAAAGCGUGGGGAGCGAACAGG